rnacentral:rRNA from 1 species
UACGUAGGGGGCAAGCGUUGUCCGGAUUUAUUGGGCGUAAAGAGCGCGUAGGCGGCUUAUCAGGUCGGAUGUGAAACCCUUGGGCUUAACCCGAGGACUGCAUUCGAAACCGGUAGGCUUGAGUCUGGUAGAGGAAAGUGGAAUUCCUAGUGUAGCGGUGAAAUGCGCAGAUAUUAGGAAGAACACCAGUGGCGAAGGCGGCUUUCUGGGCCAUGACUGACGCUGAGGCGCGAAAGCUAGGGGAG